CAGAUCUGGUCAUUGUCACAAAGUGACGCAUGCGCAACUCACAUCUGCACUCGACUCACAUCAGGUAGUGAAAUUGCCUGCAACGUGUGGUGCUGCUCGGUGAAUGAGACAGCAACUACUCUUGGAGAGAGCAGAGGAGCUACGAUUUCACCUGUUGCAAGAGUUGAAGCAACCUACCCAGAGUGAUGGAGACAGUUUCUGCAAUAAGACGGGGCUGAUUUUUUUAAGCUCUGAUCGACAGCGAUGGAAACAUGACACCCUGGUGGACACGCUAAUUUCCCCCCCUUUUCCAACGUGAUGCUUUGCCGCUUGUCGCCUCCGUCUGUAACUUCUUGGUUGUGGUUUUUCAGUUUUUCAAUUUUCUGUUAAUUUGUCUAUUCAUUUCCUGUUUGCUUGUUUCCCUGUUGGUUCUCUGUUUCCUGUUUUGCUGUAUAUCUGUAUUCCUUGUUCGUGGUUCUUUUGUUCUGUUUUGGUUUCCCUGUUCCAUCCUUGUGUAUGUUUUUGAUGCUUUAGUAUCCUGUUUUAUAUUGUAGUGUCAUGUCUCGUUUGACUUCCUGCCUUUGUGAUCGUCUGCCCUGACGCGUUCCACCUGUUCAUCUACCCUCAUGUCACCUGUCCCUCGUUACUACCCUCGUUGCCUUGUGUAUUUAGUCUGCGUGCUUUCUUUGGCUGUGUUCAAAACCAUUCCCUAUCACGGAAAUAGCGCACCAAAUAGUGUGUUUGCCAUUUUGUUGUGGUGUUCGAAUUAUCUGCGGUUAAUUUCAUUCACUAUAUAGUCCUUGAUAAAAUGCCCACGGUGCACUACUAAUUUGAGUGUACAUAUGAUGUACCCUACAUUUUACUCCUGUGUUUUCCAGCGGAGAAGAAGAAGCAGAAGCACCUGCGAAAACUGAAAAGGAAAAUGGAGCGGGCUUUUGUUUCUAACCAGUGGAAAUGUAACAUGCAACAUACUGUAUAUACAACCUUUUACUAUUCUCCUGAGUGCUCGCUUUGUUUCAGGGACGAUAUUUUCAGUGUGGUGUCGUUCCCUAUAUAGUUAAUACUGUAUAAAGCCAAUACUGUCAAGACAGCACUUUGAGACGGUAAUCCACGCCUUUGUUACCACUCGGCUGGAUUACUGUAAUGCACUUCAUGUGGGGGUAAGUGGGUCCUCCAUCGCCCGUCUGCAGAUGGUACAGAAUGCUGCUGCACGUCUUUUAACUGGCACACAUAAACAUGAGCACAUUUCCCCCAUCUUAGCCUCACUCCUCUUAUUUGCUUUUAAAGCCCUGAAUGGUCUUGCCCCCCACCCCCUACCUCUCGACACUUCUACGCCCUUAUAUACCCACUUGCUCUCUCAGGUCAGAAGAUCAGCUGUUCCUGGGUGUGCCUAAAACUAAGUGGAAGCUCAGAGGAGACCGUGCCUUUGCUGUGGCGGCUCCUAAAUUAUGGAAUGAUCUGCCUCUGCACGUUAAACAGGCCUCUUCUUUGUCUGUUUUUAAAUCCCGUCUUAAAAUCCAUCUCUUCUCUGUGGCCUUUGACACCUAGUAAGAUGUUGACUUGUUGUACUUCUUUUAAUUAUUUAGAUUGAUUGUUUUUCAUUGCGCAGCUAUUAUUUUGUAUUCAUGUUAUAUUGUUAUG